rnacentral:tRNA from 1 species
GGGAAUGUGGCUUAGUGGUAGAGUGCUUGUCUAACAUGCAUGAAGCCCUGGGUUCAAAUCCUCAGUACCA